GAUGAACGUUGGCGGCGUGCCUAAUACAUGCAAGUCGAGCGAACAGACGAGGAGCUUGAUCCUCUGACGUUAGCGGCGGACGGGUGAGUAACACGUGGAUAAACCAAUUAUAUGACUGGGAUAACUUCGGGAAACCGGAGCUAAUACCGGAUAAUAUAUUGAACCGCAUGGUUCAAUAGUGAAAGACGGUUUUGCUGUCACUUAUAGAUGGAUCCGCGCCGCAUUAGCUAGUUGGUAAGGUAACGGCUUACCAAGGCAACGAUGCGUAGCCGACCUGAGAGGGUGAUCGGCCACACUGGAACUGAAACACGGUCCAGACUCCUGCGGGAGGCAGCAGUAGGGAAGCUGCCGCAAUGGGCGAGAGCCUGACGGAGCAACGGCGCGUGAGUGAUGAAGGUGUUGGGAUCGUAAAACUCUGUUAUUAGGGAAGAACAAAUGUGUAAGUAGCUAUUCUCGUAGUGACGGUACCUAGUCAGAAAGCCACGGCUAACUACGUG
rnacentral:rRNA from 1 species